rnacentral:pre_miRNA from 1 species
CAACUACUCCCUCUGUCCCAAAUUUCUUGUCUUAGAUUUGUCUAGAUACGGAUGUAUCUAAUACUAAAAUGUGACUUGAUACAUCCGUAUCUAGNUCUAAUACUAAAAUGUGACUUGAUACAUCCGUAUCUAGACAAAUCUAAGACAAGAAUUUUGGGACGGAGGGAGUACUUU